rnacentral:rRNA from 1 species
UACGGGGGGGGGCAAGCGUUGUUCGGAAUUACUGGGCGUAAAGGGUUCGUAGGUGGCCAACUCAGUCAGACGUGAAAUCCCUCAGCUCAACUGGGGAACUGCGUCUGAUACUAGAUGGCUCGAGUGCAGGAGAGGAACGCGGAAUUCCAGGUGUAGCGGUGAAAUGCGCAGAUAUCAGGAGGAACACCAAUUGCGAAGGCAGCUCGCUGGGACGUUACUGACGCUGAGACGCGAAAGCGUGGGGAGCAAACAGG